rnacentral:rRNA from 1 species
GAUGAACGCUGGCGGCGUGCCUAAUACAUGCAAGUCGAGCGAACAGACGAGGAGCUUGCUCCUCUGACGUUAGCGGCGGACGGGUGAGUAACACGUGGAUAACCUACCUAUAAGACUGGGAUAACUUCGGGAAACCGGAGCUAAUACCGGAUAAUCUAUUGAACCGCAUGGUUCAAUAGUGAAAGACGGUUUUGCUGUCACUUAUAGAUGGAUCCGCGCCGCAUUAGCUAGUUGGUAAGGUAACGGCUUACCAAGGCAACGAUGCGUAGCCGACCUGAGAGGGUGAUCGGCCACACGGGAACUGAGACACGGUCCAGACUCCUACGGGAGGCAGCAGUAGGGAAUCUUCCGCAAUGGGCGAAAGCUUGACGGAGCAACGCCGCGUGAGUGAUGAAGGUCUUCGGAUCGUAAAACUCUGUUAUUAGGGAAGAACAAAUGUGUAAGUAACUAUGCACGUCUUGACGGUACCUAAUCAGAAAGCAACGGCUAACUACGUG